UAGGGAAUCUUCGGCAAUGGGGGCAACCCUGACCGAGCAACGCCGCGUGAGUGAAGAAGGUUUUCGGAUCGUAAAGCUCUGUUGUAAGUCAAGAACGGGUGUGAGAGUGGAAAGUUCACACUGUGACGGUAGCUUACCAGAAAGGGACGGCUAACUACGUGCCAGCAGCCGCGGUAAUACGUAGGUCCCGAGCGUUGUCCGGAUUUAUUGGGGCGUAAAGCGAGCGCAGGCGGUUUGAUAAGUCUGAAGUUAAAGGCUGUGGCUCAACCAUAGUUCGCUUUGGAAACUGUCAAACUUGAGUGCAGAAGGGGAGAGUGGAAUUCCAUGUGUAGCGGUGAAAUGCGUAGAUAUAUGGAGGAACACCGGUGGCGAAAGCGGCUCUCUGGUCUGUAACUGACGCUGAGGCUCGAAAGCGUGGGGAGCGAACAGGAUUAGAUACCCUGGUAG
rnacentral:rRNA from 1 species